UGAUACCUUGCACUCUGUACCAUCGGNUUUAAGAGUUUGAUCAUGGCUCACGAUGAAUGUAAGUGCGGCGUGCCUAAUACAUGCAAGUCGAGCGAAUGGAUUGAGAGCUUGCUCUCAAGAAGUUAGCUGUGCUGGACGUGGUGAGUAACACUGUGGUGUAACCUGCCCAUAAGACUGGGAUAACUCCGUGGAAACCUGUGGGCUAAUACCUGGAUAAUAUUUUGAACUGCAUGGUUCGAAAUUGAAAGUGCGUGCUUCGUGCUGUCACUUAUGGAUGGACCCGCGUCGCAUUAGCUAGUUGGUGAGGUAACGGCUCACCAAGGCAACGAUGCGUAGCCGACCUGAGAGUGGUGAUCUGGCCACACUGNGUGACUGAGACACUGUGCCAGACUCCUACGUGGAGUGCAGUAGUAGGGAAUCUUCCGCAAUGGACGAAAUGUCUGACGUGAGCAACGCCGCGUUGAGUGAUUGAANGCUUUCGGGUCGUAAAAACUCUGUUUGUUAGGGAAGAACAAGGUUGCUACGUUGACAUAAGCUGGCCACCUUUGACUGGGUACCCUUAAACCAGAAAGCCACCGGGCUAACUACUGUGCCAAGC
rnacentral:rRNA from 1 species